rnacentral:rRNA from 1 species
GAUGAACGCUGGCGGCGUGCCUAAUACAUGCCAGUCGAGCGAACAGACGAGGAGCUUGCUCCUUUGACGUUAGCGGCGGACGGGUGAGUAACACGUGGGUAACCUACCUAUAAGACUGGGAUAACUUCGGGAAACCGGAGCUAAUACCGGAUAAUAUUUCGAACCGCAUGGUUCGAUAGUGAAAGAUGGCUUUGCUAUCACUUAUAGAUGGACCUGCGCCGUAUUAGCUAGUUGGUAAGGUAACGGCUUACCAAGGCAACGAUACGUAGCCGACCUGAGAGGGUGAUCGGCCACACUGGGACUGAGACACGGUCCAGACUCCUACGGGAGGCAGCAGUAGGGAAUCGUCCGCAAUGGGCGAAAGCCUGACGGAGCAACGCCGCGUGAGUGAUGAAGGUCUUCGGAUCGUAAAACUCUGUUAUUGGGGAAGAACAAACGUGUAAGUAACUGUGCACGUCUUGACGGUACCUAAUCAGAAAGCCACGGCUAACUACGUG